rnacentral:rRNA from 1 species
GACGAACGCUGGCGGCGUGCCUAAUACAUGCAAGUUGAGCGAUGAAGAUUGGUGCUUGCACCAAUUUGAAGAGCAGCGAACGGGUGAGUAACGCGUGGGGAAUCUGCCUUUGAGCGGGGGACAACAUUUGGAAACGAAUGCUAAUACCGCAUAACAACUUUAAACAUAAGUUUUAAGUUUGAAAGAUGCAAUUGCAUCACUCAAAGAUGAUCCCGCGUUGUAUUAGCUAGUUGGUGAGGUAAAGGCUCACCAAGGCGAUGAUACAUAGCCGACCUGAGAGGGUGAUCGGCCACAUUGGGACUGAGACACGGCCCAAACUCCUACGGGAGGCAGCAGUAGGGGAUCUUCGGCAAUGGACGAAAGUCUGACCGAGCAACGCCGCGUGAGUGGAGAAGGGUUUCGGAUCGUAAAACUCUGUUGGUAGAGAAGAACGUUGGUGAGAGUGGAAAGCUCAUCAAGUGACGGUAACUACCCAGAAAGGGACGGCUAACUACGUG